ensembl:ncRNA asRNA:CR43812 antisense RNA:CR43812
UGAUGUUGACGGGCGGGUACUUCACCGACGUCUCCUCUUGCGGCUCUCGGAACAAAGCCGUCGCCGCAUAAACGAGGAAGACUACGAUGGGCCCCACAAUGAUGAUCACGCUGGUUAGCGUAUUGGAGAACUGGAAGCGGGCCGUCUUGCAUAUGACCAGCCACAGCAGGCAUAUGCUGCUCUGCGUCUUCACCGGCGAUUCACCACUGGACAUAUUCGUACAAUUUAGAUGACGCCAACACGUAAACAGAUUAGAAAUAUAACAAACUUCACGUAUACUCCGCACUAAAA